AUGGCGCACGGGCAGGAGUCUUCGACGGAGGCCGCCGCCGGCGGCGCCGCGCCGCUGUGCGCGAACGGCUGCGGGUUCUACGGGAGCGAGGCGACCAAGGGCAUGUGCUCAAAGUGCUACCGCGACCACCUCAAGGCAGGAGAUGUGGCUGCCCCCGCCGUCGAGGGGAAGAUCAAUGCCGACGACCUCGUCCUCGCCUUCAAGACGUCGGUGAGCCUGCAGGACUCUACCGCUGCCGCUGCUACCGUGGCGACACCGUCGGCCGAUGCGCCAGCGAAGAAGGCGGCGCCGACGAGGUGCAUGGCGUGCAGGAAGAAGGUGGGGCUGCUGGGGUUCGCGUGCCGCUGCGGUGGCACCUUCUGCUCGCUGCACCGGUACGUGGACGGGCACGCGUGCGGCUUCGACUACAAGAAGGUCGGCCGGGAGCAGAUCGCGCAGCAGAACCCUCUCGUCGCGCCGUCCAAGCUCCAUAACAAGAUUUGA
rnacentral:rRNA from 1 species